rnacentral:tRNA from 1 species
GCCCAGGUAGCUCAGUCGGCAGAGCAACGCACUCGUAAUGCGUAGGUCGUGGGUUCGAUUCCCACCUUGGGCU